rnacentral:rRNA from 1 species
CACCUCUUGACAUAAUAUAAGAGGCCCAGCCUGCCCGGUGACAAAGUUUAACGGCUACGGUACCCUGACCGUACGAAGGUAGCAUAAUCACUUGUUCCUUAAAUAGGGACCUGUAUCAACGGCAUCACGAGGGCUGCACUGUCUCCUCUCUUCAAUCAGUGAAACUGAUCCCCCCGUGAAGAAGCGGGGAUUAAGCCAUAAGACGAGAAGACCCCAUGGAGCUUUAAACAAGUACUCACACUGUACUUACACGUCCCUUAACUAAAAGCCCUGAGUACAAGUUUUAGGUUGGGGAGACCGCGGAGAACAAUUAAACCUCCACGACAAACGGCCCUUAAGUCCUUAUCCACGAGCCACAGCUCUAAGAAUCAAUAUACUGAUGAUUAUGACCCGAUACUAUUCGAUUAAUGAACCAAGUUACCCUGGGGAUAACAGCGCAAUCUACUUCAAGAGUCCAUAUCGACAAGUAGGUUUACGACCUCGAUGUUGGAUCAGGGUAUCCUUGUGGUGCAGCAGCUACUAACGGUUCGUUUGUUCAACGAUUAAAAC